GGCAACGUGCCAGAGUGGUUAAUGGGUAUGACUAGAAAUCAUAUGGCUUCGGCCGCACAAGUUCGAAUCUUGUCGUUGUCG
rfam:Magnaporthe poae ATCC 64411 unplaced genomic scaffold supercont1.8, whole genome shotgun sequence.